UUAAUAUAUUACUUAAUUUCUCAUAUAUCUCAAAGAGAAGGAAAAAAAUUGUACCCUGAUACCGAAAGAUGUAAUGGAAGUCGGAAAAUUCAAUCUUAAAAUCUAAAACUGGACUAUGAAAAAAAUUGAGUCGAUUUUCCAACCAAAAAAGAAGGGGUGGCAUUCCUAAAUAAACAAGAAAACUCAUAAUAAUGAAUCCAUUUGAGUACAAUUCGUUAGGGAACUUUAUCUCUCUCAAAACCAACUAGCAGAGGAAGGUGCUGCACCGUCAGCAGCAGGUGCUGGCGGUGGAGGUGCUACUGCAGCGUCCCAUUCGUCAGCUGCCAAAGCAACUGGCUCUUGUGCCCAUUCGACACCGGAAGCAGGUGGAACAGCAGCAGCAGGAAUUGCAUCUGCAGCACCCCACUGAGCAUCAGGAAUUUGUGCAGUCCAUUGAUCUGAGCCAACAAGUGGAGCAGCACCAUAGUCAGCAAUGCCAAAAUCUGGGGGUGGAAGAGCCUCUUCCUCUUCUGGCUCCUUAGCCUCCUCAGGCUCGCGAUAGAAAAACAAAUCCACCAUCACAUCCCACUUGUGCCCAGCACGAAUUGUUCCGCGCAUUUGUAGAACCAUCCUUGCCAAAAGCCAGAACAGACAUCCUAUGCUAUGUUUCCCCUUGUUGUUAGCGGGGAUUCCAAUAUCAACAUACCGCAUUGGAGAAUCAGUGUCACAAAAGGCUAUUGUGGGAAUGUUACCAAGGGCAGCUUCCUUAAUGGGCUGAUGAUCAGUUCUAGGAUCAGUAAGUAUAAGAAGACGUGGUUCAUUGAAUGACGUCUGAAGCUGGUUGGUGAAUGUUCCGG
rnacentral:misc_RNA from 1 species